GCGGGCGUUGGAAAUUUGAGAGGAGCUGUCCUUAGUACGAGAGGACCGGGAUGGACUUACCGCUGGUGUACCAGUUGUUCUGCCAAGGGCAUUGCUGGGUAGCUAUGUAGGGAAGGGAUAAACGCUGAAAGCAUCUAAGUGUGAAGCCCACCUCAAGAUGAGAUUUCCCAUUUCUUUAAGAAAGUAAGAUCCCUGAGAGAUGAUCAGGUAGAUAGGUCAGGAGUGGAAGUACAGUGAUGUAUGGAGCGGACUGAUACUAAUCGAUCGAGGACUUAACCACA
rnacentral:rRNA from 1 species